rnacentral:rRNA from 1 species
UACGAAGGGGGCUAGCGUUGCUCGGAAUCACUGGGCGUAAAGCGCACGUAGGCGGCUUCUUAAGUCAGGGGUGAAAUCCUGGAGCUCAACUCCAGAACUGCCUUUGAUACUGAGGAGCUCGAGUCCGGGAGAGGUGAGUGGAACUCCGAGUGUAGAGGUGAAAUUCGUAGAUAUUCGGAGGAACACCAGUGGCGAAGGCGGCUCACUGGUCCGGUACUGACGCUGAGGUGCGAAGGCGUGGGGAGCGAACGGGG